rnacentral:rRNA from 1 species
UACAGAGGGGGCGAGCGUUAUUCGGAAUUAUUGGGCGUAAAGGGCGCGUAGGCGGCCAUUCAAGUGACGGGUGAAAGCCCUCGGCUUAACCGAGGAACUGCCUGUCAGACUGGAUGGCUCGAGACCGGGAGAGGUGAGUGGAAUUCCCAGUGUAGCGGUGAAAUGCGUAGAUAUUGGGAGGAACACCAGUGGCGAAGGCGGCUCACUGGACCGGAACUGACGCUGAGGAGCGAAAGUGUGGGGAGCGAACAGG